rnacentral:snRNA from 1 species
GAGCCAAGCAAUGAGCACAAAGCGAACUAUUCUUUCGCCUUUUACUAAAGAAUACCGUGUGCUUGUUGCUUUAAGUUGCAUAUCUCUAUUUUUGUAAGGUGGUCUUCAGUUGGAAGGCC